CCUACGGGAGGCAGCAGUGGGGAAUAUUGCGCAAUGGGGGAAACCCUGACGCAGCAACGCCGCGUGAGUGAGGAAGGACUUCGGUCUGUAAAGCUCUGUUAAUGAGGAAAAAAUGGUAGUUGGUCUAAUAGGCCGAUUAUUUGAUGGUACUCAUAGAGGAAGCACCGGCUAACUUCGUGCCAGCAGCCGCGGUAAUACGAAGGGUGCAAGCGUUGUUCGGAUUUAUUGGGCGUAAAGCGCGCGUAGGCGGACCUGCAAGUAAGAUGUGAAAUCUCGAGGCUCAACCUCGAAACUGCGUCUUAAACUACAGGUCUAGAAUCUCGGAGGGGGAAGGGGAAUUUCGCAUGUAGGGGUAAAAUCCGUAGAUAUGCGAAGGAACACCAGAGGCGAAGGCGCCUUCCUGGACGAGUAUUGACGCUGAGGCGCGAAAGCGUGGGGAUCAAACAGGAUUAGAUACCCUGGUAGUCCACGCUGUAAACGAUGAACACUAGGUAUUGGAGGAUUUGACCCCUUCAGUGCCGUAGCUAACGCGUUAAGUGUUCCGCCUGGGAGUACGGUCGCAAGAACUAAACUCAAAUUGAAUUGACGG
rnacentral:rRNA from 1 species